UCCAUCAACAUUUCUAUAUAUAUAACUCUCAUCUCAUUAAUCAUUAACCUUCAAAAUCUCCUUACAACAACUUAAGCUCCACCAUUCUCUUACCAAACCAAUUAAAUUUCCGUCUCUGAAACCCUGCUCUCUUGUUGAACGCUACGCACGUACGUCAUCGCCAAUUAUGAAGUCCCGUUUCAUGGCAGCUUUCGUUCUUGUAUUACUGCUCGUCAUGCGUUUAAACUACUUGCCUAGAGCAAAAGCGACGAGGAUGAGGCCCCUUGUCGCGUCGCCCUCGUCUUCACAAACUCUCAAGGAUUUGCACGAUAGAGAGAAGAGCCCGUACAAGAAGAUGAAGUCGAGCUUUCGGAGGAUUCCUCCGAGCAGAUCGAAUCCCACGCAGAACAAGUUGAAGCCUCCAUAGGAUAUAUACAUAUGAGUGGAAGAGUUGAUUCUUUCAUCAUCUUUGAUAGGUGUGAUGUAGAUUAGAGUUUAUGUUUUUUUUAUUACAUAUGAUAGAAUCAGUUGGUGAUGCAAUACAUAGAAAUUUUGGAUGAUUAGUCACAUUUUUGUGGUGGUGUGUUUAUAGCUGGAAAUGUGAAUGAAUAGAAGAAGCUUUGAUCA